rnacentral:rRNA from 1 species
CCUACGGGUGGCAGCAGUCGGGAAUAUUGCGCAAUGGAGGAAACUCUGAUGCAGUGACGCCGCGUGCGGGAAGAAGGAUUUCGGAAUGUAAAGUUCUAUCAGCAGGGAAGAAAAUGACGAGUCCUUAUCAAGUAGCCUCGGCCUAACUCCGUGCCGGAGCCGCCGUAAAUACGUGGGGGGCAGCGGUUAUCCGGAUUUAUUGGGUGUAAGGGGGGCGUAGACGGAGGAGCAAGCUAGGUGUGAAAUCCCUGGGCUCAACUCGGGAACUGCAACUAAAACUACGUCACUUGAGUGCAGGAGAGGAAAGUGGAAUUCCUAGUGUAGCGGUGAAAUGCGUAGAUAUCAGGAGGAACACCAGCGGCGAAGGCGACUUUCUGGACAGUAACUGACGUUGAGGCACGAAAGCGUGGGGAGCAAACAGGAUUAGAUACCCGUGUAGUC